GGCGGACGGGUGAGUAAUACAUAGGAAUCUACCCAGUAGCGGGGGACAACUUGGGGAAACUCAAGCUAAUACCGCAUACGCCCCACAGGGGAAAGCAGGGGAUCUUCGGACCUUGCACUAUUGGAUGAGCCUAUGUCAGAUUAGCUUGUUGGUGGGGUAACGGCCUACCAAGGCGACGAUCUGUAGCUGGUCUGAGAGGACGAUCAGCCACACUGGGACUGAGACACGGCCCAG
rnacentral:rRNA from 1 species